AGAUUGAACGCUGGCGGCAUGCCUUACACAUGCAAGUCGAACGGCAGCACGGGAGCAAUCCUGGUGGCGAGUGGCGAACGGGUGAGUAAUACAUCGGAACGUGCCCAAUCGUGGGGGAUAACGCAGCGAAAGCUGUGCUAAUACCGCAUAAGAUCUACGGAUGAAAGCAGGGGAUCGCAAGACCUUGCGCGAAUGGAGCGGCCGAUGGCAGAUUAGGUAGUUGGUGAGGUAAAGGCUCACCAAGCCUUCGAUCUGUAGCUGGUCUGAGAGGACGACCAGCCACACUGGGACUGAGACACGGCCCAGACUCCGUACGGA
rnacentral:rRNA from 1 species